CCCUUUUCUCUCUGAUUCACUUUUUAGAGGAUUAUGAAUAAUUUUUUUGAUGCCCAAAACAACAUAAAAUAACUAUCUUUUUCUGUUUUUCUGCGGUUAUAUCAUCUGGCCCUCUUUCAUUCUCCAAGAUCCAGGCUUACCCCGGUGAGUGUUGGUUGGAUUUUUGAAGUUCUAGCUUAAUAUUUAUGGGUGUAGAUAUAUGUGUUGUAUAGAUGUAAAUCUCUAUUCCUGUAUUGAUAAAUUGGAAGAAAUUUUGGCGCAUUGAUUCGAGAGAAGAGGAGACAGUUGACAGAGAUGUCAGAGGUUUUUUGUGAGGAGUGUGUGACAGAACCACUUGAGUUUAGUUCCAACAAGAACAUGUUAGAUGUUGUAUUUGAUAGUGUCGACCUUCUUCAAAAGAGUUCACAACGGAGGACGACAGUAAUGUGGACAGGCCUUGAUGCCAUUUAGUUCAUUAACCUUCUUCACAGCGCACUUCAAAUAUGGACACCAGAAUUGAAGUUCACUGCUAUCUUUCUCUGUAAUUCCUAGCGCUGUCGUUAAUGGACUGGUCAAUUUUUCUAUAUUGUCGCAAUAUGCGGAAAUAUGAGGUAAGAUCCAUGUUCGACAUCUCUGUUUCAUGUCAUUUGUUCAACUUCUUUAGGGUUAAUUUGUCUGCCUUCACACACUUGCUCCUAGAGUCAUUUACAUGAGCUAUUUCUCUUUCUUCCGAUGACAUAGCUUCUAUCUUUGAAAUUUCUCCAAUCAUUGGUCUUCCCAUGCAGUGUUAAACAAUUGAGGUGAGUAUCUCCUCUCUGCUAUUUGAUUUCAUUUGUUUUUCUUUUGUCUUUUGUGUCGGUCAGUUCUGCCGCCUUCAUUGCUCUAAUCAGAUUCAGAAUUUUGAGUACGAUAAAAUAUAGAAAAUUUAAUAUAAAACUCAAUUAAUAAUUAUUGAUAUGGGGACUUAUACCUCUUCACAGGAAAGGAAUAGAACAUUAAGUGGUAUUGAAUUUCUGACGGAUUUUGCAGGAGUGACAUUAGUUCUGGAGAAAGUGAUAGGAAAUUUGUAUCAAAUUUCUUGUUCUUUGUUUUAUUUAAUAGGUUUGGUCUCUUGCAAUCAUCGAUUUGCUAAUCUCUAUUAUCUGUAAGACAGCUAAGACAUGUAUUAUGUAUCGAUCAUUGUUUAUGACAUGCUCAACUGACUUGAUUACUUGAAGUUUCGUAUCAUUGAAAUAUAUGAUUUGUAAUGUUGUAAAAAGAUAUAUUCUAGGCUUAUGUUUACAAAAUCAAAUUUCUCCACUUUUCAGUUUCAUGUUGUGGCAUUAGAAUUUAUGUUCCUUAAUCUCCUGAGGUUUCUUCACCAUUUAUUGGAUCCUAGCUUUGACAAGCUUUCAAUGAUAAAAUUUGAAAUUUCCAAGGAAAAUUGAGACAUGGUUAAACCAACAAAUCAUGUCAAUUCUGGAGAUGGUCCUGACUACAAUAUUGAAGUCAUUGAUGUUUAUGAUAUUGUGUUGUGCAAAUUAAAUUGAACGUAACUAACUAACUGAUCGGCAAUGCAGUGAUAAAUGAUGAGAAAAAUACCAAAGGGAUGUGUGGGUGUUUCAGCUAAUAAUGCCUUCAUUUCAGAUGAAACCUCAUAUCUAAUCCUGAGAUUCUACAACUUUUCAUACAUGCGAUUACACAAUCAGACGAUUGCAAUGUGGCUGUAGGUGCGGUUAGAACUGAUAUUGAUUGUCUGUGUUUGUACCUUAUCAUUAACUUGAGCUAAUUUGCGCAACA